GUGACAGAAAAAGUAAAUAACUACGUUUCAUUACAGUUUCCUGUUUCCUUCUUGAUCCUUCACAAGGGAAGAUUUUCUUUUUUAGAGGUACAGAUUCCUCUUAGUCAAGUCCUGAUUAAAACUCCAGCUAAGACAUUAGUAAGCCUUGGUUAGUGAAGUGGCAUCAGGAAGUGCCUACAUUUUCAUGGCCUGGUAGCGUUCAGUGAAAAUGUUCAUUAACAGACACAGGCCAUUCAGUCCCGAAUCCCAAGACACUGAAGACUCUGUUUGAAUCAGACUCACGGGUUCCUUCCUAGCCACUCUCAGGGACAGGAAUGCUUCUGUAUAAAAAACACACCCAGUUUCACACCAGUCUCUGGUGGGACAGAGACUAGCAAUUACAUCAUCAACAAUUUAAAAAAUUCUUUGGAAUGCAGUAGUAGCAAAGCCUUUUAGUUCCCAACACGUUGUUAUGAAAAUUGUUCAAACAUAGAGAAAAAUUGAAAUAAUUGUAUCAUGAACAUCCAAAUGCCUUCCAUGUAGAUUGUACAAUUAGCAUUUUGCUAUAUUGGCUUCUUUACAUAUUAUCAUCUCUCUGUACGUCCACUGA
rnacentral:lncRNA from 10 species